AGAGUUUGAUCCUGGCUCAGGAUGAACGCUGGCGGCGUGCUUAACACAUGCAAGUCGAACGAACCUUCGGGUUAGUGGCGGACGGGUGAGUAACGCGUGAGAAUCUGCCCUCAGGAGGGGGAUAACGGUUGGAAACGACCGCUAAUACCCCAUAUGCCGCGAGGUGAAUGAAUUUCGCCUGAGGAUGAGCUCGCGUCUGAUUAGCUAGUUGGUGGGGUAAAGGCCUACCAAGGCAUCGAUCAGUAGCUGGUCUGAGAGGAUGAUCAGCCACACUGGGACUGAGACACGGCCCAGACUCCUACGGGAGGCAGCAGUGGGGAAUUUUCCGCAAUGGGCGAAAGCCUGACGGAGCAACGCCGCGUGAGGGAUGAAGGCCUCUGGGCUGUAAACCUCUUUUAUCAAGGAAGAAGAUCUGACGGUACUUGAUGAAUAAGCCACGGCUAAUUCCGUGCCAGCAGCCGCGGUAAUACGGGAGUGGCAAGCGUUAUCCGGAAUUAUUGGGCGUAAAGCGUCCGCAGGCGGCCCUUCAAGUCUGCUGUUAAAAAGUGGAGCUUAACUCCAUCAUGGCAGUGGAAACUGUUGGGCUUGAGUGUGGUAGGGGCAGA
rnacentral:rRNA from 1 species